rnacentral:lncRNA from 1 species
AACAAGGAGAAUGAGGAAUGGACUGAAAAAGAAUUUCCUGGAAACUCCAGCAAAAUCCAGCUGAACAAUCUCCAGUACGAUGCUGAUUAUCACCGGCGUUAGGGAAGGAGGUGUGGUGGGAAUUGUAAUGUUCAUCUUCUUGAUACUGAUGGUGUCAGUAGAUGCUUUCUGUUGCUACACCAACCACUGUGGCCUGCUUAAUUUCCUCGCUCGCAAACUAUUUGGACACAACAUCUCAGAGUCUAAAGGGAUGGAUGAAGAGGCCAAUAAUUCCUCUGGGAAGAAACCAGAAUCUGGAGAUCCAGCAGCAGAGGCCUAA